AUUGAACGCUGGCGGCAGGCCUAACACAUGCAAGUCGAGCGGAGCGGCGGACGGGCGAGUAAUGCCUAGGAAUCUGCCUGUUCGUGGGGGAUAACGCCCGGAAACGGGCGCUAAUACCGCAUACUAUCAGAUGAGCCUAGGUGGGAUGAGCUAGUUGGUGGGGUAAAGGCCUACCAAGGCGACGAUCCGUCACUGGUCUGAGAGGAUGAUCAGUCACACUGGGACUGAGACACGGCCCAGACUCCUACGGGAGGCAGCAGUGGGGAAUAUUGGACAAUGGGCGAAAGCCUGAUGCAGCCAUGCCGCGUGUGUGAAGAAGGUCGUCGGAUUGUAAAGCACUUUCAGUUGGGAGGCGUUACCGACAGAAUAAGCACCGGCUAACUUCGUGCCAGCAGCCGCGGUAAUUC
rnacentral:rRNA from 1 species